CGCAAUGCAUUUACAUCUGUAGUUUACACAUUGACAAACGUCGCAGAACUUACACCACCCAUUAGGCCCUGCACAAUCGAAGACCGUUUCGCAGUGCAAAGUAACAAUCGGUCCCCUCGCUUCCGCAACUCUCGUCAUCACCAUACCUACGUACACAGACAGGGGAGGAUCCAAGAUGUAAGUAUUUUUUUCAAAAUAUUAUGAGCAAAACGUAAAACUUACAACGAAUUAUUAGGAAAAUAGUAUAACUAGUUAUAAACGAAAGGGAUGAGAGAAAAUAUAUACUAACAAAAAGCUAUAGAUAGGAGAAGUGAGAAAACAAUAUUGGUGGUGGAUGAAGAGUUCUUCAUAUUUUUUUCUAGAGUUUAUUUGUAAAGUUGGUAUCAGCUAAUGAUCACUUGUGAUUCUGUAUGGUGAAAGAUUUCGAAAUAAAUAAGUAUUGGAUUUGAAAUUAGGUGAAUAAUCA
rnacentral:lncRNA from 1 species